rnacentral:lncRNA from 1 species
CGAGCACAGAUGGGGAAGGUCUGCUUCAUUGAGCCAGAUAACGAUGCCAUCAACGCCCUGGGCCUGAUCAUGGUGCUUGUCAUUGCCUUGGCGCUGGUGCACGUCUGCUGCUCGCGACCCCGUCGACGUGUGAUGCUCGUGUAUCCCUGCUGGUGCUGAAACAACAAUGAUCAAGAGAGGCGUGACAGCCGAGUUCAAGAAAUUGGGAUUGUCUUUGUCUUUUGAGUCUCUUCUUUUGGUGUCGACUUUGUAUUCUCUCUCAGAGACCUGUCAUGUUUUCGCAUAGUAAAUAAUAUGGGAUGAUCCGCGAGCAAACUUGGGGAAUUUAUCAUCUGUGCAUCUGUUCCUCUGGCAAAUCUCCUGUCAGGGCUCUGUGAUCCAGGAAGAAGGUAAUCUCCUGACCUUCCUUUCUGUCACCAUGUAUCAUCUGAUAAAGAAGGUUAGUUUAAUUGGCUUGGAUCAUUAAUCGUCACUUAAUAAUCAUGGACAGUAAGUUUUGCUAUUGUCCUUUCUGGAGAUCAUAAUAUGCCUAGAUAAAGAUCAUGGAGUAGUUUCUCUAAGCUUACAGAAACUAUGGCAAAGCCUUUCCUGAGCACCAUACAGCAGAUCAUAGAGUAUCAAUUGCCCUUCUUGUCUUUUUUUCUUGGUUGCUGUUACAGCUGCUGCUUGCUCUGCUUUCUCUUUUUCUCCUGCUAGGCUCCUCUUCAGACUCCGAAGCUGCUAACUCUCUCCACAACUCUGCCAACUGAGCUACAUCCAUAUUUUUCUUCUUCGCUUUUGUCUCAGGAAAAUUGAUCUGCAUUCUUUAACUCAGCCUUUUCUCUCCCUCAUCACUGUCCUCUUUGGCAGUGCUGAUUCCUGUUCAGCAGCUAUCUCGCUUGGACAAAGUCAGCUGAAGGAUCAUAUGUCGACAGAGGACAAGAAAAGGAAACAGAAAUUUACAUCACCAAUUUCUCAAAACUUCGAAGAACCUCUACAAGAAAGGAAUCUCAACUCUGCUCACAGGUUGUGCUUCUAAGAUGAUAAAAAAACUGAGCUCUGCUUCUUUUAGAUAUCACUGCUGCUUCUUUUAUCUCUGCUUCGGGCUCUUAAGACAGCAUCGACAACUAAAACAGUGAUAUAAGGUAAGAUUUUUUCAAUUAUACGAGGAAAUCUCUCUAUUCUGUUGAGGAAAAUCUUUUCUCCUAAUCUAUAUAAAUAGGAGAGGGAACAUUGAAG